rnacentral:rRNA from 1 species
UACGUAGGGUGCAAGCGUUAUCCGGAAUUAUUGGGCGUAAAGAGCUCGUAGGCGGUUUGUCGCGUCUGCUGUGAAAACUGGGGGCUCAACCCCCAGCCUGCAGUGGGUACGGGCAGACUAGAGUGCGGUAGGGGAGAUUGGAAUUCCUGGUGUAGCGGUGGAAUGCGCAGAUAUCAGGAGGAACACCGAGUGGCGAAGGCAGAUCUCUGGGCCGUAACUGACGCUGAGGAGCGAAAGCAUGGGGAGCGAACAGG